CCCUUAGAUGUCCUGGGCCGCACGCGCGCUACACUGAGUGUCUGAGAUACGAGUCUGCCUGGUCCGGCAAGGUCUGGGUAAUCGCUAAAAGACACAUCAUGCUUGGGAUAGAUUAUUGCAAAUAUUAAUCUUGAACGAGGAAUUCCUAGUAAGCGCAAGUCAACAGCUUGCGUUGAUUACGUCCCUGCCCUUUGUACACACCGCCCGUCGCUACUACUGAUUGGAUGUUUAAGCGAGGUUCUCGAACUGCUAGCGACUUAGCUUCGGUGAGGUCGCAGUGUGGGAAGUGAACCGAGCUUUGGUGUCUAGAGGAAGUAAAAGUCGUAACA
rnacentral:rRNA from 1 species